AGCAGCCGCGGUAAUUCCAGCUCCAAUAGCGUAUAUUAGAGUUGUUGCAGUUAAAAAGCUCGUAGUUGAAUUUCGGGAUCAAUAUGUUGGUCGUGCCUCGGUACGUACUAGCAUAUUGGUUUCUCCUUUCUGAAGAACCAUGAUGUCAUUCAUUUGGUGUCGUGGGGAAUCAGGACUGUUACUUUGAAAAAUUAGAGUGUUUAAAGCAGGCUCACGCUUGAAUACAUUAGCAUGGAAUAAUGAAAUAGGACGUUUGAUUCUAUUUUGUUGGUUUCUAGGAUCGACGUAAUGAUUAAUAGGGAUAGUUGGGGGUAUUAGUAUUCAAUUGUCAGAGGUGAAAUUCUUGGAUUUAUUGAAGACUAACUACUGCGAAAGCAUUUGCCAAGGAUGUUUUCAUUAAUCAAGAACGAAAGUUAGGGGAUCGAAGACGGAUCAGAUACCGUCGU
rnacentral:rRNA from 1 species